rnacentral:rRNA from 1 species
UACAGAGGGUGCGAGCGUUAAUCGGCCUUACUGGGCGUAAAGCGCACGUAGGUGGCGACGUAAGUCGGGUGUGAAAGCCCCGGGCUCAACCUGGGAAUUGCAUUCGAGACUGCAUUGCUGGAGUACGGAAGAGGAGGGCGGAAUUCCCGGUGUAGCGGUGAAAUGCGUAGAUAUCGGGAGGAACAUCAGUGGCGAAGGCAGCCCUCUGGUCCAGUACUGACACUCAAGUGCGAAAGCGUGGGGAGCAAACAGG